AUUUUUUUUUACUGUAAGCACCGCGUGGCGAACUCUUCAGUUUCUUCUUAUCUCAUUUCUCUUUCUGUCUCUGAAAAGUAAAAUGGAAAAAAAAACACAACUUGAUCUGGAUGAUCGAGUGUGUAAUUUAGAAUGUGAUUUAGUCUUAGUUGUUGGUUAAGAAGCUAUACAAUUCGUUGAUUAAAGACAAGAAGAACAUUAUUGAGAAGAAGUUCUCUCUCUCAACUAAUAAGCUUAAUGGAUUUGAUUUUGUUUUGGUGUGUUGAAGCUAUGGGUUUGUCUGCUUUGAAAAACAGAUUUGUAAAAUGAAUUGAUUUUGUAAUUUGGGUCUUUCUUUAUUUUAAUUUUGUUUUGUACUAUUUGUUUUACUUUUUAAAAUAUGAUUGUCAUGGUAGUUUUUGUUCAGAUUUAGCUAAUGUUGAUAAGGGUUGAAAAACAAUUUCAAAGCCCAAGUCUUGCCAUUGAUAAGGAUACUUUUGUUUUAAGUAUGAAUGUUCGAUCUAUUUUCUAAUUCGAUCAUGAUAUGGGUGUCUUGAUUUCUGAUUCUAAGAAAUGGGUUUUGUGAUUUUGAUUAUUGGUUUAAUGAAUAUGAUGAGAUGAAUAAUGAGAGAAGAAAAUGAUGAUUCAACUCGUCUAUUGGGCGGCUCAAAUUCCUUGACUGUAUUGAAUCGGCACUGACUCACCCGUCCAGUGCUAGUGCCGGAGAGAUGGGGCAUGGAUACAGAGCCGUGGUGGUGGUGGUGGUGGUGAAGGCUCGGAUAAGGAAGAGAAAGAUAAACUCUUUCCGGUAUAUGGAGAAACUGGAGGGUACAAUAGUAAAUUUGUUUAAUAAUUACAUUUUAUAUAAUCUUUUUAUAAUAACUAAACAGAGGUUAAGAAGUUAAAA